GGCCAGCAUUACUCUUGGCUCCUGAGUCGGGGUAAUGUUUGGUCAUCCGUACGGGAAGCUAACUCGGCCUUCACUGGUCGGCUAGUGGAUCGUACACUUUACUUUGAAAAAAUUAGAGUGUUUCAGGCAGGCAAUUGCUUGGAUACUUCAGCAUGGAAUAAUGGAAUAGGACUUUGACCUAUUUGUUGGUUUCUUGAGGUCAAAGUA
rnacentral:rRNA from 1 species